AUUGAGUAGCCGAGGAAAAUAUUCUUUGAGCUUUAGAUGCAAGACUUGCAAAGAUGCUCACACUAAUAUUUCGAGAUGAAGCAUUUUCCUCCAAACACAUACCAAGAAUUAGUGUUUGCUUCUGAUUGGCCAUUGACAAGAAUGGUGUCUUUCUAGAUUUAUCAAUGGUCAGGGUUCAUCUUGAUUAACCUUCAUUUGUGAGGUCUUGUCCUUCGAACACAUACGAACAACACAAAAGAAACUAGAGUAGUCAACGAUCAUUGCAAAAAGAAAUCUGGAUUUGUUUGCAGACAUGACAUUAG
rnacentral:lncRNA from 1 species